rnacentral:pre_miRNA from 1 species
UUGUGGGUGACUGGAAGGCAGUGUCUUGUUAGCUGGUAGUUUCUUCCUGUCCCAGCUCACCUGCUGCUGCCCUCCAGCUGUCCAUUUA